GACGAACGCUGGCGUGCAUGCCUAAUACAUGCAAGUCGAUGCGGAACUUUGGUGAGCUUGCUCCCGAAGUUUAUGCGGCGGACGGGUGAGUAACACGUGGGCAACCUGCCCUGCAGAUCGGGAUAACUCCGUGGAAACCGGUGCUAAUACCGAAUAGUUUUUUUGUCCCUCCUGUGUGACGGAACGGAAAGACGGUUUCGUGCUGUCACUGCAGUGAUGUGUGCCCGCGUGCUGCAUUAGCUAGUUUGUGUUGAGGUAACGGCUCACCAAAUGCGACGAUGCGUAGCCUGACCUGGAGGAGUGGUUGAUCUGUGCCACACUGUGUGACUUGAUGACACGUGCGCCAGACUCCUACGUGGAGUGCAAGCAGGUAAGGGAAUCUUCCGCCAAUUGUGACGAAAGUCUUGACUGUGAGCAAUGCCGCGUGAGUGACGGAAGGUUUUCGGAUCUGUAAAACUCUGUUUGUAAGUGGAAGAACAAGUACCAAGUAACUACUGGUACCUUGACGUGUACCUUACCAGGAAAGGCCACGGCGUAACCUACGUGCCAAGCAGCCGCGGGUAAUACGUAAGGUUGGCAAGCGGUUGUCCUGGAACUUAUUGGGC
rnacentral:rRNA from 1 species